ACUGGAGGAAAUCACAACCUCCCUUUUAGUAUUUUAAAUAUUAAUUUUAAUAAAAAGUUCUGACUUAACUCAGUAUGAGAGUCUCUAAUUCCAUCCAUGUUGCUGCAAAUGGCAUUAUUUUGUUCUUUUUUAUGGCUGAGUAGAAGAUUGAUAGAACACUGUAAACCAGCUCUAAUGGAAAAAAUAAAAAUCAUUACAUAAAAUAAAAUAAAAUAAAAAGUCCUAGGAAGCUUGAAAUGUCUGAAGUAGGCAACUACUUGCUACUUGCUGCAGUUAGUAUUCCUGAUGCUAAUUUUGCUUUCUUGAAAGGUGAGAAACCUUUAGAAGUACCAGUAGUUGUUCAGUUCACAGAUACCAUAAAUCUCUCCUGCAGUGUGACUUAGUACUCUGGAAAGAAAGCAUAUAUUCUCCAAGUCCAUACUCUCCUGAUGAAAUUUAUAUCUGGGUGAGAACAGAGAUAGCAAGCUUCUCGAUUUCUCUUUUACUGUGAUAAAAGCAGAGAAAAUGUUAACAAGCAAAGCAUGAGCCAGACUGCCUAAUGUUAAAGGUACAGAUCCGUGUGGGAGGGAUGAGCCCUGUUGCAUCAACGUCCCAGCUUCCUGCUCGGACGGUGCUUCAGGCUGCAAACGCACACAUGCUUAUAAAUUCCAUAGUCUGUUUGUGAUAUUGGCGUGUGCUUGAAGGAGUGUGACCUUGGUGGACAUGGCUCACAUUAGCCGAAUUCACAAGAGACUAACCUACUGACCAAAUGACAAAUCAUAAUAUGUAAAGAGAAAUGGAAAAUGACAAAUCACUAACGUAUAAAGAAGAAUGUAACUCUCGAGGCGAGUAUGCAGGUGCAGCCAUUAAAAAAAGAAAGAAAAAAAGUGAUACUAUCAUAUCCUGUACCAUUUUGGAUAAGCUAACAUAUGCUUUCUUAACAACUCUUAAAUCUCAGUGGCACAUCAAAGAAGCUUGUUCUUCACUCAUGUUCAGGUUCUUCACAAUUCCCCUGUGUUAUUUUGUGUUGUUAUUGUUGUUUUGUUUGUUUUCUUAUUUAGGACUCACCCGCUCUCUGAAUCUUGCUGGGAACUUCGAAGAGGAAAAGGAGAGGAUGCAUGUGCAGGCUUUAGAAACUUCCACCCAGAAGGAACAGGUUAAUUCUGCUCACAUAGCAUCAGGCAAAGACAGGAGGUCAAGGCCAGUCUUAAGGGUACAGGGCAGGGUGUUGCUGCUAUGAGGAAACUCAUCACUGCAACUCACAACCUAAUACUAACCCUUACUCUAAACUUAAGAGCUAGUCAAGAGCACCACACCGACUACCACUUGCCAGUGUAACUUAGGUAAGAUGUUACCGUGAUUAUUGCAUUUAUUUUGAGUUCUGUGUUGGAGUAAAAGGCAGCUUUGUGGUCACUUUGGAACACUUCCCAUAAGUAAAGUUUUAUUUGUCUUUUAGGGUUGUUCCCUCAAGAGGAAAGUGGAAUGGACACGAGUCCAGCCUUGUUAGAAAGAGGACAUGGCUUCUGGGAGACUUUAUUGUUUUAUUGAGUUAUAUCUAGUUUUCUCGUUCUCCUUAAAUAUUAAGUAUAUUUAUACUCUCACGGGCCCUGAGAAAUAAGGUGGGUGAUUUAACCAGAGAAAUGUCUUUGAGAUGACUGAACACCUGCGCUCCACAGAAAUCUGGGCAAGUCAGCAAAUGUGGGGCCCAAAUGUCUGAUGUUGGAAACGGCAUACUUUGCUCUUUGGUAAUUCGUCACCAAUACCACUGAGAACUGACUGCUGGAAAGAGAGAGCUUUUGGUGGUCUUGUCCACGUCCAUCCUUUCCUUAGGCCUAAACACACAUUUGGGUGAAAAAACACUGAAUCACACAUUUUGAUAUAUACCAUAAUUAUAUAAUAUACAAAGAUACUCUUUUGCAGGAAGCCAAGGAGAUGCAGGGACUCAAAAAAGGACCUUGCCUGAUGGCAGAAAAACCUGAAGGCAGGUUCCUAACCAAGGAAGGGAGCUCACCUGAACGGUCCAAGCCGAAGGUGGGCCUCUGGACAGGAUAAAAGCCUGCCUGCACGGUACCAGCCGAGAGCAGGCCUCAGGUUACAAGGCUCUCACUUUGAUGUUAAUGGGGAAGAAUUGGGGCUUUCCUGGUAAAGCAAUUUCCAUGUUUGUGCCAGAGAACAUGGAUUGUUUCUUGGAUGACCUAGUCUUCCCUGUUGUUUUAUUUAUUAUUCAGUUUUCCUCAGUCUUUCCUGAGUCCUUGCUUAUUAUUCUUAUUUCCCAUUCUUAUUCUCCUGUGGUGAUUUGUGAUUUAACAAAAUUACAGCAAUAAUAAAAUAAGAAUUUUAUCCUAAAGGACUUUCCCCUAUUCAAAUCCAACUUAGUUAAAACAUAGUGUUUUUCUACUAACUAGUUAUACAGUAAACUUUAGCGUUAGGAUUUUAAUGAGGUUCAUAGAAGUUAGACAUAUAUUAUUCUUGACCAAAAGACACCUAGCUAUGAGUUAUAGAAGCUUUUAAGUGAUAGCUAGUUAAGUUGGUUUAUAUUUUCUUAUGCUGUCUCCCUGCCAUAACGCUUUAAAGAUAAGCACCAGUCUAAAAACAAGAUUUGUAAAUACAAAAUUCUAGUGUCUGUGACCUCUUCAAAUUGCAAAGACUGGAUGGCCAUGGGAUGAUUUGUACUGAGUCUCCUCCUUUCCAUGAUGUAUUGUACCUAAUUGCCCUUAAAUUGUACUCACUAAGUUUAGUUAAGACAAAGAUGUUAGAACGUGACGUAUAGCUGCCGUACCAUGUAAAAGUCAACCAAUGUACUUUUAACACUGUGAUGUAAUCUGUAGUGAAAAACUGUCUAUAUAACCUACCACUUAUGCCAAUAAAAUCUGAGCAGUCCAGAGCCCUGAAAGAAGGGACAAAGAGGCUGUCUCCAUAUUUACAUUUUGCCGACGCUGUCCAUCUCUUAUCAGGAAAGUGUACACUCCCUGGCCACCAGAGCUGGCCUCCGGCACUCUUUCAAGUUUAAAAAAAAUAAUUUUCCCCUGGAUUAAUAUUGUCAGAUUGUGACCCAAAGUGGCAUUUCACACAUCCCCUCUUUGGAAGGAUAGAAGCGAGAGAAAUCCAUGCCCUUGGGCACUGGGGUCUCUCCUCUGCUUCAGGUACAGGAGUGACCCUUGUUUUCACCUCCAUGUUUUUAUUUGUGUUUUUCUAGGUUUCUAUUUGAAGAAAGUCACCAAGGCCAAAACACAACAAUAAAUCGAAACAAAAAUAAAUACAAAAAAAUAAGUGAAUUCCGUUUACGUACAUGAUGAGAAGGAACUCAAAGAUUCUGAUGGUGUGUAGCCUCUGACAGUAAACUACUAGAGUUUAUAAAAACAGGUCUGGAGUAAAGUGGGUUCAAACCUUUUACUCAGCCAUGGAUUUAUUCAGAGAAAUUGUAAAUGCAGCCCUUUUCCAAGUCCCUAUUUACAAAACUAAAAACAAUUUACUACAGUGUUCAUUAACUCUUAGGGAAAAUAUUGAAAACAAAGUGAGUUUCUGAAUUAGAAAAUAACUUCAAACUUAAACCCAAAAAAACAGAAUACCCAGAAGGUUAGCAUAAAGUGUUACCUGACAUUACCAAAUACAAGAAAUUUUUAUGUAACAAAGAAGGAGGUGUAACAAUUAAAAAAAAAAAAAAACUUUUAAUGUUUCAGCUGCUUUUGAUUCAGGACUCCAAAGAUUUUGUUUUGGGCAUUUCUAUAUAUUUAGUGUCAUAUUACACUAUCAAAAAUUUGUGGCAGUUACAUUACUGGAGGUAAAUUCUUUUCUUAAAUUCUUGUUUCAUAUAGUGCGAUCAAUAGAAAGAUUCCUAUGAAAGAAAAAUCGUUUGGAAUUGAUUCUAUUUCUUCAGAAAUAGAACCACUAAAAUUUAUAUUUGCCCCCUAAAUUAAAGAUUAGUUCUAGUUCAAAGUCUCAAGAAGAGAAAGACUUCACAAUAACUUCUUUCACUUCAGCUAAAAGGAAAAAAAAAUAUGAAAUAUGUUUUAAAGGUAAAUUCCAGGAUAAUCUGUAAAUAUUCAAUACAUCUGAGAAGAAUGGCAAACACAGGAGAGGAGCAGACAGCUCUAUGGUGACUGUAUAAUCUUUGCCUCCUGGCAAACUGAAUCCAAGAGAAAACAAGAGUAAUCUGUCAUGACGACACGAAGUUUAGGACAGAAACGCAAGUCAGUCAGCCAUCAGAUAACACAUAAAUAAAAGACACCUGUUAUAGUUGAUCCGCUCGCUAUACAAUACAAAAGCAAUGAUAUAAUUUACCUAGGAAUGAAUGCAACAAUAGGUACGUAAGAUUUUUAUGGAGAAAACUGUACAACGUCUCUUGCAGCAUUAAGGAAACAUAAAUCAAAUGAUGUUCAAAGCAACACUCAGUAUAAGGAAAGUGUUAGUCCCCCCCAAAUUGACCUAAAGGUUCAGAUCUUACUUUUCUUAUAUCGGGAAACACUCGCUCUCUCCUCCACCGAAGAAUGAUUUCACUGCUCAUCAUUAUUCCCAGUUUACAUACCUAUUGCUACAUUCAUCCCUAGGUAAGUUACAUUAUGGAUUUUGUAUCAUAUGGUAAGUGUACUUGGGUGUCUUUUAAAAAACUCAUGUCUUGAAAUAUUUGUGGUCAGUGUAUAGAUAAGGAAUUACUUUUAUAUGUUGCUCUGAAUAUAAAUCCUUUUACUUUUCUUUUUUUUUUUUUUUUUUUUUUUUUUUGUCUUUUUGCUAUUUCUUGGGCCGCUCCCACGGCAUAUGGAGGUUCCCAGGCUAGGGGUCUAAUCGGAGCUGUAGCCACCGGCCUACACCAGAGCCACAGCAACGCGGGAUCCAAGCCACGUCUGCGACCUACACCACAACUCAGGGCAACGCUGGAUCGUUAACCCACUGAGCAAGGGCCGGGACCGAACCCGCAACCUCAUGGUUCCUAGUCGGAUUCGUUAACCACUGCGCCACGACGGGAACUCCCCCUUUUACUUUUCUAAACAUCUUUGUGUAUUCAAUUCACUUUUAUACUAUGUAUCCUACACAUAUGUUUUUUUAAUAUACUUUCAAUUCUUGUAUCUCCAAUCCAAUAUUAUAUAGUGACUGUAGGCAACUUUGUUUUAUCAUUGAUAUUAAAGGAAAGUUAUUAGUGAUCUAACAUUAAAAGUAAAAUGUUCCCUGCAAAUUUACAGUAGGAUAUUCCCUACGGUCUCUGGUUGUUGAAUAGCUUAUAUUGUUUAUGAGGGAUUUUGUUUCAAUAACUCUUUCUACAGUCACCUGAGUUAUAUUGUUUUAACAUCUGGUUUUUAUUUACAUAUUAUCUGAGUAUUAACUGACUUGCACUUCUGUCAUAAACUUCAUGUCAUUAUGACAGAUUACUCUUGUUUUCUCUUGGAUUUCGUUUGCCAGUAGGCAAAGAUUUUAGAGUCACCAUAAAGCUGUCUGCUCCUCUCCUGUGUUUGGGUCUCUGCCAAAAUGUGGGUGACAGCAGCUGACUUCAUUUCUACAACAAACUCUGAAUAAAUAAUCUGUGCUUUUUCUCAGGUCCUUUACUUCAUUUACUCCCACAAACUAUACAUUGUCCUUUAAAAAUAACUUUCUUUGAAACUCGCACUUUGCUAGACAAUGUUUUAAUUAAAAUUCAGCUCUGUGCUUUUUGUUGUAAUUUCUUCUUUCACAUGGUAUGUAUAGUGUGUACCAUAAAAUCAAAAUUUGUAGGCCUUUUAAUCCAGUUACUUUUUAGUAUUCAUCUCUUAGUUCAUUCCGUGUAACCAGGGAACUUAAUUUGCAUGGUAGUUGAUUCUUUUUAUUUCUGAAGGUAUUUUGUGAGCAAUAAUUGGUUUGUUUAGAGGAAAAUGUGCCUUCUCUGACACUGAGUGCAUUUAUUUAUGUGUAUCCAUCAAAUUAAAAUUUUUUUUGUCUUUUUGUCUAUUCUAGGGUCGCACCCAUGGCACAUGGAGGUUCCCAGGCUAGGGGUCUAGUGGGAGCUGUAGCUGCCGGCCUCCGCCACAGCCACAGCGACGCCGGAUCCGAGCUGGGUCUGCGACCUACACCACAGCUCAGGCAACGCUGGAUCCUUACCCCACUGAGGGAGGCCAGGGAAGCUCAUGGUUCCCGGUCAGAUUCGUUAACCACUCAGCCAUGACUGGAACGCCAUCAAAUUAAAUGUAUUACUUACCUUGUUCAAGUUUUCUCUUCCUUUACUAAUUUUUGGCCUUUUAGAAAUAAUUCGGAAAAUAUAAUUAAAAUCAAAAUCUCCUUUUCACUCGGAAAAACCCUCCAAGAAGUCCGAAGAGAAAGAAGACAGUUUUCAUUAUUGAAUAUUAUGUAUUUAAGUAAAUGUCAUAUGCAUCACCAGAAUUCAUUAAGAACAUACAAACUUGCAAAAAAAAAAAAAAAAA
rnacentral:lncRNA from 1 species